rnacentral:rRNA from 1 species
UACGUAGGGUGCAAGCGUUGUCCGGAAUUAUUGGGCGUAAAGAGCUCGUAGGCGGUUUGUUGCGUCGGCUGUGAAAAACCUGAGGCUCAACCUCAGGCCUGCAGUCGAUACGAGCAGACUAGAGUGUUGCAGGGGGAGACUGGAAUUCCUGGUGUAGCGGUGAAAUGCGCAGAUAUCAGGAGGAACACCGGUGGCGAAGGCGGGUCUCUGGGCCGAUACUGACGCUGAGGAGCGAAAGCCAGGGGGAGCAAACGGG